CUCCCCUUAUAGCCAUCCUCUCCACACCAUUAUUAUGAAAUGUUUUUUUUUCUUUUGGCCAUCCAAAAAAAGAAUUUAAGAUUCUUAUUGUCACGUUUUCAGAUUUUCGAACAUCUGUAACUCACAAYAAAAAGCAUACUUACCAUUCCCCCCUCUGUUUUUAAUCACAAGAAGCUAUUUCUCUUUUUCCCCCAUGCCAUGUGAAAUUCACAAAUACUCAACCCAUAAACAGUUCCAGCCAUUAUUGUUGGUUUGUGAGUUUCUGAUGGGUGCUGCAGACCCUGUCCCCAGGUCCCCCUUGCGAAUGAGUUAUAUGGGUCACUGGGUUUUUAUCUUAAAAAAGGGGAAUGAAUGUAAAUAUUUUUGUAUUUCUCUGGUGGCAGCUCACCUUUCAGCUCGUUUCGAAUGUUUCCUUGAAAUAAAAAAGGACAAAAGACAGUGUUCAGUGACAUUUGACCUUCCCAAAGCAAGGCUAACACUUUGUUACACUCUUUUAAGAAAUGAGUGAACUUUGAGUUGAUUCCUUUUAUUGCUGUUUAAAAUGUUGACCAAAGCCUGUGCACCACAGAGAAUUCACGUACGAGUAUGAGGAAGCCCAGAGGCAGCUUGUCAGGCACCCCCCCACCCCAGCAGAAAUGAGCAUUUAUGGAUGCAUUUAAAAGACAAAGCUGCACCGCAACUUCUCUGCGAGUCACAACAUGAGUCACACACCAAGUAUGGAUGUGUCUCUCCUUGGAAAUCUUUGCUGAAUAAAUGGAAAUCUGAUGACAUUC